UACGUAGGGGGCAAGCGUUGUCCGGAAUCAUUGGGCGUAAAGCGCGUGUAGGCGGCUCGAUAAGUCCGCUCUGAAAGUCCGGGGCUCAACCCCGGGAGGCGGGUGGAUACUGUCGGGCUAGAGUCCGGAAGAGGCGAGUGGAAUUCCUGGUGUAGCGGUGAAAUGCGCAGAUAUCAGGAGGAACACCAAUUGCGAAGGCAGCUCGCUGGGACGGUACUGACGCUGAGACGCGAAAGCGUGGGGAGCGAACAGG
rnacentral:rRNA from 1 species